GCAGUGGGAGCACCCUUUGGGGUGUGACUGCGUACCUUUUGUAUAAUGGGUCAGCGACUUAUAUUCUGUAGCAAGGUUAACCGUAUAGGGGAGCCGGAGGGAAACCGAGUCUUAACCGGGCGUUAAGUUGCAGGGUAUAGACCCGAAACCCGGUGAUCUAGCCAUGGGCAGGUUGAAGGUUGGGUAACACUAACUGGAGGACCGAACCGACUAAUGUUGAAAAAUUAGCGGAUGACCUGUGGCUGGGGGUGAAAGGCCAAUCAAACCGGGAGAUAGCUGGUUCUCCCCGAAAGCUAUUUAGGUAGCGCCUCGUGAAUUCAUCUCCGGGGGUAGAGCACUGUUUCGGCUAGGGGGCCAUCCCGGCUUACCAACCCGAUGCAAACUGCGAAUACCGGAGAAUGUUAUCACGGGAGACACACGGCGGGUGCUAACGUCCGUCGUGAAGAGGGAAACAACCCAGACCGCCAGCUAAGGUCCCAAAGUCAUGGUUAAGUGGGAAACGAUGUGGGAAGGCCCAGACAGCCAGGAUGUUGGCUUAGAAGCAGCCAUCAUUUAAAGAAAGCGUAAUAGCUCACUGGUCGAGUCGGCCUGCGCGGAAGAUGUAACGGGGCUAAACCAU
rnacentral:rRNA from 1 species